GUCUAUGGCCAUACCACCUGAACACGCCCGAUCUCGUAAGCUAAGCAGGGUCGGGCCUGGUUAGUACUUGGAUGGGAGACACAGUCCAGAAACUCUAGUUU
rnacentral:rRNA from 1 species